UACGUAGGGUCCGAGCGUUGUCCGGAAUUACUGGGCGUAAAGAGCUCGUAGGUGGUUUUGUCGCGUUGUUCGUGAAAAACUCACAGCUUAACUGUGGGCGUGCGGGCGAUACGGGCAGACUUGAGUACUGCAGGGGAGACUGGAAUUCCUGGUGUAGCGGUGGAAUGCGCAGAUAUCAGGAGGAACACCGAUGGCGAAGGCAGAUCUCUGGGCCGUAACUGACGCUGAGGAGCGAAAGCGUGGGGAGCGAACAGG
rnacentral:rRNA from 1 species